CGAUCCCGUCGCCUCCGAAAAAUUGAUUCCCGUACAUGUGCAUAGAUCCACCUUUUCCUUUCGAAAUUCCAGUCCUACGACCCAUCAGCUCCGCGAAUAUUUCUCGUGCCGAUACACCGAAUACCACUGCGAAACCAUGACAUCGAUAACCGAAUGGAUAACUGGAGCGUCGCACAACAUGUCACAAACAGACCAAUAAAUGUCAAAACGGUACGUACUUGUUGGUACGAACUUGAACCUAUCCUUGCAGAUUUCUAGAACGAUAAUCAUAAAGGUGAAAUUUGUUAAUCAUUACGAAAAGAGAGGAAGAAAAAACGGAGAAGGAGGAAAGGAAGAUAGCAAGAAAGAAAGAAAGAAAG